rnacentral:tRNA from 1 species
GGAAAUGUGCCCGAAAUCUAAAGGACUACUUUGAUAGAGUAUAUUAUAGGAGUUAAAAUCUCCUCAUUUCC